rnacentral:lncRNA from 1 species
CAGCCUUCCCUAGAGAGAAGGCUUCUUCUCUCCCGUAGUCCCCAGGCCAGGUGGAACAACCAGUGCUCUGGUUGAAGACCUCUACAGGUAGACAGGUGGCAAGAUACUGCUUGGGCCCAUUUUCUUCAUCAUUUUCUGGUGAUACUUUACUUCAUGUAGAUAUGGACUUUGAUUUGCUUCUGCAGUUCUCAAAAUUCUAGGAUACAUUUUGUUCAAAACUAAAAUGAAGCUUACAAAAAUAUCUUCAGAAAAGAAAUAUAAGACCUGAGAAGAUAUAAUACUACUGAAUAGGGAAGAUUGGAGUAUUGUGUUGGAUGGCUUGUUCCAUUUCUUUUCAAACAAGAGAAAGAAAGGGAUGGUCGCACUUUGGUGUCUGGUGUUAUGACUCGUGGACCUUGUUAGCAAUGCACGCUGCAGGAGCUGUAAUAGAAGUGACUGUCUAAUUGUCAUUGUUUCCCGAGAAGUCAUUAUGUACCCAGAUAGCAUGUGUCUUUUCAACAUGACAAUAAUUAAAUCACCUCAACCACUGCACAGAAGUGUGAGCUAGUUUAACGCAUUGAUGAGUACCUAAGUUUUACAAUUCUAGGGAAUGUUACCUGAGGUGUGCUUUCAAUGGGUGAUUUUCAUACACAUUAGUUUGAUAUAUUUCACACUUCUCCCUAGCUCAUAAAUUUUUUUAAAAGGCUCUAUGGCUGUUUCAUUUUGAUUAAAAAGUUAAUAAAUCUUGCUCGUUCUAAAUUAAACAC